rnacentral:antisense_RNA from 1 species
GGCGUUUGUAAUAGCAAUUUACUGCGAUCUUCAAUAUCGCCACCGAUGUGGUAAGGCAAGCCGCAAUUUGCAAAGGAGACGAAUGGACCCCGCUCAAACAUGAUAAUUUCGGCAUCUUCACUUAAACGUCUUGCUCUUGCCGCAGCCGAUGCGCCACCUGCAACGCCAC